UAGGGAAUCUUCGGCAAUGGGGGGAACCCUGACCGAGCAACGCCGCGUGAGUGAAGAAGGUUUUCGGAUCGUAAAGCUCUGUUGUUAAGGAAGAACGAGUGUGAGAAUGGAAAGUUCAUGCUGUGACGGUACUUAACCAGAAAGGGACGGCUAACUACGUGCCAGCAGCCGCGGUAAUACGUAGGUCCCGAGCGUUGUCCGGAUUUAUUGGGCGUAAAGCGAGCGCAGGCGGUCAAUUAAGUCUGAUGUGAAAGCCCCCGGCUCAACCGGGGAGGGUCAUUGGAAACUGGUUGACUUGAGUGCAGAAGAGGAGAGUGGAAUUCCAUGUGUAGCGGUGAAAUGCGUAGAUAUAUGGAGGAACACCAGUGGCGAAGGGGACUCUCUGGUCUGUAACUGACGCUGAGGCUCGAAAGCGUGGGUAGCAAACAGG
rnacentral:rRNA from 1 species